CUUUGAUAGACACCAUGACCAGGAUGUUCCCAAUGAUGGUCACUAGACUGAGAGAUCCUGCUACCAGGACUAUGAAGACCACCUCAACAGUUUUAUAGGGACUCCCCAGUGCCAUAACAUCCUCGGCGGAGGAGUUUAUUUUGAAAAGAGGCUUGCCGUGCAUGGGAAACUGAAAAUUUUUCCUGCUGCCCAGAUGCCCCGCUGAUAAAAGACGAAGAUGAUGGGAGCGGUCAGCACAGUAAAUAACCUGUAAUCAUAAAGAAAACCGAACAAACUUGGGCCUUUAGGGAUGUUGGAAGAGUGCACCAAGUUUAAGAGUUCUUUGCCUGAGAGUCUCAAAACUGCCUGAAAUAUUCAUGUGAUGGGAAAGGAAGAAAGUGAAGAGCCAAUUGUUUAAUUAUCUACUAGUUUCAAACUGGCUGAUACAUGUCGGGGAGUUGGAUGCAGACAGGAGAAAGACCCCACUGGAGCAAAGAUGGUGGUGUAGAAGCUAUGUGAGAAGAACCCUCCAUCACAGCAGGAGAGAAGGAAUGGUAGAUAAUGCAGAGGAUCAAGUGCAUUCAUUGCCAGGGAGAUAAUGAAGAGGCGCUGUGUUGUUUGUUUGCUUUGACAAUUGCACAUGCCAGAGAAAUAGGCGCAAGCUUCAGGUGGGGCUUGAAGGGCAUGCCCUAUCCUACACAGAUGGAGUGGAGUCUUCAGUCAGGGAGUGGAUGAUGCCUCGUUAUGGGUGACUGAGGAGAGCAAAUAAACAAG